rnacentral:pre_miRNA from 1 species
ACGCGCCACCACGACCACCACGAGAAGGCCGCGGAUCCCCGCCCAGGGGACCGCGGCCUUCUCGUCGGUAGGCUGGGCUCGUGC